CACGUAGGGUGCGAGCGUUGUCCGGAAUCAUUGGGCGUAAAGAGCGUGUAGGCGGUCCGGUAAGUCCGUUGUGAAAGUCAGGGGCUCAACCCUUGAAUGCCGGCGGAUACUGUCGGGCUAGAGUCCGGAAGAGGCGAGUGGAAUUCCCGGUGUAGCGGUGAAAUGCGCAGAUAUCGGGAGGAACACCUAUGGCGAAGGCAGCUCGCUGGGACGGUACUGACGCUGAGACGCGAAAGCGUGGGGAGCAAACAGG
rnacentral:rRNA from 1 species